rnacentral:rRNA from 1 species
UACGGAGGGUGCAAGCGUUAUCCGGAUUUACUGGGCGUAAAGCGUGCGUAGGUGGUUUGUUAAGUCUGUUGUGAAAGCCCCGGGCUCAACCUGGGAAUGGCAAUGGAUACUGGCAAGCUAGAGUGCGGUAGAGGGUAGUGGAAUUCCCGGUGUAGCGGUGAAAUGCGUAGAGAUCGGGAGGAACACCAGUGGCGAAGGCGGCUACCUGGACCAGCACUGACGCUCAGGCACGAAAGCGUGGGGAGCAAACAGG